GACAUAGGUGGCAAGCGUUAUUCGGAAUUACUAGGCGUAAAGCGAGUGUAGGCGGACGAUUAAGUCCGAUGUUAAAUCUCCAGGCUUAACUUGGAGUCGCAUCGGAUACUGGUCGCCUCGAGUGGGGUAGGGGGCAGCGGAAUUCCCGGUGUAGCGGUGAAAUGCGUAGAGAUCGGGAGGAAUACCAGAGGCGAAGGCGGCGGACUGGACAGUCACUGACACUCAACUACGAAAGCGUGGGUAGCAAACAGG
rnacentral:rRNA from 1 species